rnacentral:rRNA from 1 species
UCUGUAGCAAGGUUAACCGUAUAGGGGAGCCGCAGGGAAACCGAGUCUUAAUUGGGCGUUAAGUUGCAGGGUAUAGACCCGAAACCCGGUGAUCUAGCCAUGGGCAGGUUGAAGGUUGGGUAACACUAACUGGAGGACCGAACCGACUAAUGUUGAAAAAUUAGCGGAUGACCUGUGGCUGGGGGUGAAAGGCCAAUCAAACCGGGAGAUAGCUGGUUCUCCCCGAAAGCUAUUUAGGUAGCGCCUCGUGAAUUCAUCUCCGGGGGUAGAGCACUGUUUCGGCUAGGGGGCCAUCCCGGCUUACCAACCCGAUGCAAACUGCGAAUACCGGAGAAUGUUAUCACGGGAGACACACGGCGGGUGCUAACGUCCGUCGUGAAGAGGGAAACAACCCAGACCGCCAGCUAAGGUCCCAAAGUCAUGGUUAAGUGGGAAACGAUGUGGGAAGGCCCAGACAGCCAGGAUGUUGGCUUAGAAGCAGCCAUCAUUUAAAGAAAGCGUAAUAGCUCACUGGUCGAGUCGGCCUGCGCGGAAGAUGUAACGGGGCUAAACCAUGCACCGAAGCUGCGGCAGCGACGCUGAUGCGUUGUUGGGUAGGGGAGCGUUCUGUAAGCCUGCGAAGGUGGCCUGUGAGGGUUGCUGGAGGUAUCAGAAGUGCGAAUGCUGACAUAAGUAACGAUAAAGCGGGUGAAAAGCCCGCUCGCCGGAAGACCAAGGGUUCCUGUCCAACGUUAAUCGGGGCAGGGUGAGUCGACCCCUAAGGCGAGGCCGAAAGGCGUAGUCGAUGGGAAACGGGUUAAUAUUCCCGUACUUGGUGUUACUGCGAAGGGGGGACGGAGAAGGCUAUGUUGGCCGGGCGACGGUUGUCCCGGUUUAAGCGUGUAGGUGUGUGUUCCAGGUAAAUCCGGUUCACUUUAACACUGAGGCGUGACGA